GGCGAGGCUCAGUACGGUGUGUGGAGCUGGAGCACCGUGAGGAAGAAGCGAGGUUCUUUUUAAGAGUUCAGCUGCGAGAUAUCAAACAAAGAAUUACUCUGUACAAAGCCAGAACACAUAUAUCAAAGUAAUCCUGAAGUAUCAGAACAAAAUAAUAGGGCCUUGCUCUGUCACCCAGGCUGGAGUACAGUUGCACAAUCAUGGCUCACUGCUGCAUCGAACUCUUGGACUCCCAAUGAUUCUUCUGCUUAAGCCUCCCAGAGUGGCUGGGACUGCAGGCACCUUCCAUCACUCCUGGCUAGUUAAAAAAUAUAUAUAUAUUUUUGGUAGAGAUGGGAUCUUGCUAUGUUGCCCAGGCUGGUCCCAAACUCCUGGCCUUGAGUGAUCCUCCUGCCUUGGCCUCCCAAAGUGAUGGGAUUACAGGUGUGAGCCACCUUGCCUGGCAUAGACAUUUUUUAGGACUAUUGUAAUUCAGAUAAAAUGCUCUGGAAAGAAUACUUGCCCAGUAAUGGCAUCUCCACCAGUGAACUGAAGACAACUCUGGCUUUGAUCCUCUAGGAAACUCAUGAACUCUUUUUUUUCUUUUUUGGAGAUGAGUCUCGCUCUGUCACCAGGCUGGAAUGCAGUGGCGUGAUCUCUCACUGCAACCUCUGCCUCCCGGGUUCAAGCGAUUCUCCUGCCUCAGCUUCCUGAGUAGCUGCGACUACAGGCAUGCGCCGCCACACCCAGCUAAUUUUUGUAUUUUUAGUAGAGACGGGGUUUCACCAUGUUGGCCAGGAUGGUCUUGAUCUCUUUACCUCGUGAUCCGCCUGCCUUGGCCUCCCAAAGUGCUAGGAUUACAGGCAUGAGCCACUGUGUCUGGCCAUGAACUCUGUUUCUAAGCAACUUAUAUAAAUCUCUCCCUUUCUGCCAAUAAAAGCUUCCUUUUCCCCUUCUGUCACCAGAUGUACUUGUGGCUUGCCCUUCUGUGCAUCCUGGAUUAUAAUCCUUUUCUCUCAUUCUCAAAUAAACUCAACAUGUUUGGAGG
rnacentral:lncRNA from 1 species